CUCCUGGAACAAAGAAACGUAACGUCAUGCUUAUUUGUUCAUCUGUCUGAGCCAUUGGUCCGAGCACGCAUGACGAUCGAUCAAGUUCACAUCACAAGCGAGACGUCGAUAAGAUAACUUCAAGUAAAUCAGGUUUUCGUCAAUAUUUCGUUCCGAUCGGAUCGAACGAACAAUGUUCGCCGCGAACGCGCUUGAAAAUCUCGUUAACCUGUAAGUAAAUUAUUCGAUGAAAUAACGACUGAAGCCGGCAAUGUGAUGCUAUCAUCCAUCGUUCAGUAUAGCUCGGUCGAAGUCCUACCUCGAGGAAAUCCGACACGUGUGAGCUUGAAUCGGACGAGUUUGCGCCAUUAGUGGCUAUUAGUUACUGUGAACAAAAAAAUAAUACUACAUCUUCUUUUUUUACUCGAUAUGAAUAACACUGCAGACUGCAUGGCGACCUACUUAAAGAAAAUCAAAACGAACGUGCUGGGAUCGCUAGGAAUUUCCGUUCUCGUCUUU